ACGCAGGCGGAGCCCGCUGGCGUUCACGUGACUCGGCGUUGCUGGCUUGCUCGCGGAAGUGUUCCUACCUUUGCAGCCGGCGCGGGGUCUUCGGGCGCCCUGCGGGGCAGGCAGACUGGGCCAUCCGGCUUCUGGCCGCCGGGAUGGUGCAGCUGUACAACCUGCACCCGUUCGGGUCGCAGCAGGUAGUGCCCUGCAAGCUGGAGCCGGAGCGGUUCUGCGGCGGGGGGCGUGACGCGCUUUUCGUGGCUGCGGGCUGCAAGGUGGAGGCGUUCACCGUGGCCGGCCAAGAGCUGUGCCAGCCGCGGUGCGCCUUCUCCACGCUGGGCCGAGUGCUGCGCCUGGCCUACAGCGAGGCGGGAGAUUAUCUGGUAGCAAUUGAAGAGAAAAACAAAGCUACAUUUCUACGUGCUUAUGUGAACUGGAGAAAUAAAAGGACUGAAAACUCUCGUGUGUGUAUCCGAAUGAUUGGGCAUAAUGUGGACGGACCUUUCAGCGGAGCUUUCAGAGACCAGAUGUACAUUGUUGAAAUGCCACUCUCAGAGGCCCCCUUGUGCAUUUCCUGUUGCCCUGUGAAAGGAGACCUUCUUGUUGGCUGCACAAAUAAAUUAGUCUUGUUUAGUUUGAAGUACCAGAUCAUUGAUGAGGAAUUCUCACUAUUGGACUUUGAGCGUUCUUUAGUUAUACACAUAGAUAAUAUCACUCCUGUCGAGAUUUCUUUUUGUGUUGGAUAUGUUGCUGUCAUGUCAGACUUAGAAGUUUUAAUCCUAAAACUGGAGUCAGGCCCUAAAAAUGGAGAGAGAGUUCACCACCAUCCACAUAAGACCAACGAUCAAAUGAGACGGACAGAAGAAGGCAUCAGUAAUGAAAUUUCACAGCUUGAGUCAGAUUUUGUUAUCUGCCAGAAGCCCCUGGAACUUCUUGGUGAAAAAAGUGAACAGUCUGGAUUAUCUGUUACACUGGAGUCUACGGGAUUAGCUGAUGAAAAAAGAAAAUAUUCCCACUUUCAGCACCUGCUCUAUAGACGUUUUGCUCCUGAUAUUUCGUCCUAUGGCUUGUCUGAUGACAUCAAGUUGCAUUCCCUCCAGCUGCUGCCCAUUUACCAGACUGGUCCUCUUACUUCUGAUGGAAAAAAUUUGUCUCAGGAAAAAGAAUUGCUGAGUCUCUUUUGCUUUUUCUCAUUACCUCAUGUGGGCUAUCUCUACAUGGUUGUGAAAUCUGUUGAAUUGAUGUCGGUCUACCAGUAUCCUGAGAAGUCUCAGCAGGCAGUACUCACGCCACAAUUUUUGCAUGUCAUUACAAGAAUUCCAACAGUAGCCAACAGGCUGGAUUCCUAUGGGUGGAGUAACAACCUGCAGUGUUUCACUGUGCGGUGCAGUGCGGCAGCAGCUCGUGAGGAGGACCCGUACAUGGACACCACCCUGAAGGCUUGCCCACCUGUUAGUAUGGAUGUCUGUGCUUUAAGAAUACAGCUUUUCAUAGGCUUGAAAGCCAUCUGUCACUUUAAAAACCACAUCAUACUUUUGACUAAAGCAGACCCUGAGACGAUUCCAGAGAGAAGAACGUCACCCAAGAGGCUUCUUUCUAGAAAAGAUACCGGUGUUAAGAUCAAAAUACCUCCUGUAGCUGAGGCUGGGUGGAAUUUGUAUAUUGUGAAUACGAUCUCACCAGUGCAACUAUACAAAGAGAUGAUAGACUAUAGCAAUACCUAUAAAACUGCCAAAACCCAGAGCUGCAUUCACCUUCUCAGUGAGGCUCAUCUGUUAGUGAGAGCUGCCCUGAUGGAUGCCAGUCAACUGGAACCUGGAGAGAAAGCAGAGCUUUUGGAAGCAUUUAAGGAAAGCUGUGGGCACCUUGGGGACUGUUACAGCAGGCUUGACUCCCAGCAUUCUCAUCUCACCUUGCCAUACUAUAAGAUGUCCGGUUUGUCUAUGGCUGAAGUUCUGGGCCGCAUGGACUGGACGGUAGAAGAUGGAUUACAGAAAUAUGAGAAGGGAUUAAUCUUUUAUAUUAAUCAUUCACUUUAUGAAAACCUGGAUGAAGAAUUAAGUGAAGAAUUAGCAGCAAAAGUGGUUCAGAUGUUUUAUGUGGCUGAGCCAAAGCAAGUGCCCCAUAUUCUCUGUAGUCCUUCUAUGAAGAAUAUUAAUCCUUUAACUGCCAUGAGCUAUCUAAGGAAGCUGGAUACUUCUGGGUUUUCAUCAAUCUUAGUGACAUUGACCAAGGCAGCAGUGGCUCUGAAAAUGGGAGAUCUUGACAUGCACAGAAAUGAAAUGAAAAGCCAUUCAGAGAUGAAGUUUGUAUGUGGCUUCAUUCUGGAACCUCGGCUGUUGAUUCAACAGAAAAAGGGACAGAUUGUUCCAACCGAGCUUGCACUUCACCUAAAGGAGACUCAGCCUGGAUUGCUUGUGGCUUCAGUUCUGGGCUUGCAGAAGAACAACAAAAUUGGAAUUGAAGAAGCAGAUUCCUUUUUUAAGGUGCUUUGUGCUAAGGAUGAAGAUACAACACCUCAGCUCUUGGUAGACUUUUGGGAAGCUCAGAUAGUGGCAUGUCUCCCAGAUGUGUUACUUCAGGAACUCUUUUUCAAGCUCACAUCACAGUACAUCUGGAGAUUGUCUAAGAGGCAGCCUCCUGACACCACACCAUUAAGAACAUCAGAGGAUCUGAUAAAUGCCUGUAGUCAUUAUGGCUUAAUUUUUCCAUGGGUUCACAUCUUAAUAUCAUCUGAUUCAUCAGCUGAUAAAAAUUACACAGAAGAUCUUUCAAAACUACAGUCUCUUGUAUGUGGUCCUUCGUUUGACAUAGCUUCCAUUAUUCCAUUCUUGGAGCCGCUUUCAGAAGACACUAUUGCUGGCCUCAGUGUCCAUGUUCUGUGUCGUACACGCUUAAAAGAGUAUGAACAGUGCAUAGACAUAUUGUUAGAGAGAUGCCCAGAGGCAGUCAUUCCAUAUGCUAACCAUGAACUGAAAGAAGAGAACCGGAUAGACUCUGUGGUGGAAAAAACUGCUGCCUGAACUUUGUCAGAGAAUAAAAUGUGGCGGAGAGAAAUAUCAACUCUAUUUGUCAUCAUUAAAAGAAACAUUGUCAAUUGUUGCUGUGGAACUAGAACUGAAGGAUUUCAUGAAUGUUCUCCCAGAAGAUGGUACUGCAGCAUUUUUCUUGCCAUACCUUCUCUAUUGCAGUCGAAAGAAAUCAUUGACUUAAAGGUAUCAUUUGAAAAAUACCAUAAUGGCAUUUGAGACUGAAUUUCCAAAAUUGAAUGCCAAAGUACAAGUAGAGGCAUUUUGAUUACACACACAUGUAUAUGUAAUCAUAUAUAUAUAUUUUAUAUAUAUAUAUAUAUAUGUAAAAUAUAUAUAUAAUAUAUAUAUCACACAUGUAUGAUGCAGGUGCUUUCAGGCUGCUUACCUUACCAUAUAGUGGUGACUAUUCAUUUCUUAAUUUAUGACCUCAAUCAGUUUAAUUGUCUAGAAUGUAAAAAGUCUUCAAGACAUAAGAAUUCCUCAGAGAAACCAUAUAUUUUUUUAAGGUAGAAAUUGACUUUUAUUCCAAGGAACAACAUCAGUUCACUGUUAUUGGAGACAUGACAAUCGUUUUCGUCCCAAGAACACUUUAAGGAAAUGUUUUGCAAAUAUGCUUGAAACAAUGUCACUAACUGGCCCAGAAUUUUAUCUUCUUGAUUUUUCCAGUUUUCUCUAUGCUUUUGAGAAAGAUGUUAAUGUUUUGCCGUGGUAAAAAAUUUCAAACCUCAUUUUUUUGGUUACUUUUCUUGUUACCUUAAGAAAACUCGUGCUUUCUUCUUGUUACCUUAAGAAAACUGUUUUUCUUUGAAUCAAAUGAAGUAAACGUUUACAAAGCUAACUUUCUUCUUGUCUAGCUAUUAACAUGAUUUGUCGAAUGCGUGCUUUUUUCAGCCAAAGCUUUGUUUCCAUUUUUUGUUGAUGUGUACUCUUACUCUUUUAGCUACAGUGUAUGUGAAAAUAAAGAAAUAUAUCAUUGUAUUC